rnacentral:lncRNA from 1 species
ACGCCAGGGAACUGUAGGAAAAGUAUGAUGCAAGAAAAUUUUCGGAAAUUUCUAUACUUUUUUUUUUUUUUUUUUUUUUUUUUUUUUACACCCUAACGGACUGUAGGUUCUGAAAAAGUCAAGAACCAAACGAAAUUAUGAAAUAUGGAGGAUUGGCGACCAAUUUCAGUCGACAAUGGAUUAUGGAUGUUUAUGGAUAUGUAUGAAUGAUAUUAUAAUCUUUUAUGGUGGUAUAUAAUGGUACUUCACAGACGGACA